AUAGGAUCUCGUUGGAGAGGACAAAGCAAACACUACGCACACAUACCUUGAGGUGUCACAAUGACCAGAAGUAUUCACCCAGACUGUAUUUUCGGAUUACUGCAUUAUAGGAAAUUAUCACAGCCACCAGUGGGAAGACAGUCAGUGGAUGGAUCUUGGACAUGACCUUGCUCCUUAGUGACCCAUGACAGUCACCCUGGAGGCUGUUUCCUGAAGUGGCAACCCCAUGGCUCGGAUUUGUCCUCACCCACAACAUCACGUCCUGCUAUCUGCCUUUCCCA